GGGUGAGUAACACGUGGGCAACCUGCCUCAUAGAGGGGAAUAGCCUUCCGAAAGGGAGAUUAAUACCGCAUAAGAUUGUAGCUUCGCAUGAAGUAGCAAUUAAAGGAGCAAUCCGCUAUGAGAUGGGCCCGCGGCGCAUUAGCUAGUUGGUGAGGUAACGGCUCACCAAGGCGACGAUGCGUAGCCGACCUGAGAGGGUGAUCGGCCACAUUGGGACUGAGACACGGCCCAGACUCCUACGGGAGGCAGCAGUGGGGAAUAUUGCACAAUGGGGGAAACCCUGAUGCAGCAACGCCGCGUGAGUGAUGACGGCCUUCGGGUUGUAAAGCUCUGUCUUCAGGGACGAUAAUGACGGUACCUGAGGAGGAAGCCACGGCUAACUACGUGCCAGCAGCCGCGGUAAUACGUAGGUGGCGAGCGUUGUCCGGAUUUACUGGGCGUAAAGGGAGCGUAGGCGGAUUUUUAAGUGAGAUGUGAAAUACUCGGGCUCAACUUGAGUGCUGCAUUUCAAACUGGAAGUCUAGAGUGCAGGAGAGGAGAAUGGAAUUCCUAGUGUAGCGGUGAAAUGCGUAGAGAUUAGGAGGAACACCAGUGGCGAAGGCGAUUCUCUGGACUGUAACUGACGCUGAGGCUCGAAAGCGUGGGGAGCGAACAGGAUUAGAUACCCUGGUAGUCCACGCCGUAAACGAU
rnacentral:rRNA from 1 species